rnacentral:lncRNA from 1 species
CUCAGUGUGUGCCUGGGACCUGCGGAGGCCAGCAGAGGGCGUGAACUCCUUUGGAACUGGACUUAUAGGUGAAGUUUCACUUCUGGAGUGUACUAUCCUCCAUCGGCAACUUCUGUUUUCCAAAUCCUCGUUAAAGCUGGAGACGCUCCGACGCAAAGACUCGAGCUCCCUACUAGAUGGAAAUUUAAUUACGGCUGGUCUGACAGAGCAAUGCAACCAGACUAACAAGAAUGAAGAUCGACUAAAGACCCACUUGUGGGGCUGGAGACAUGGUUCAGAUCUUAAGCGCACUGGCUGCUCUUCCAGAGGACCUCGGUUCGAUUCUCAGCAAGAGGCAAGGGCAGGCUGACGCCUGUGAGCUCCAGCUCUGCUCUACACAAUGGUGACAGUUUUGAGAAGAAUGUAACAAGCCAAACUGCACACUCCUGCUGCCACAGCCAGGAGCUGCUCUAGACUCCGUGAGUGCCACCACGCCUUCCAUCAUGAUUUGAUGAAUUACCCCUGGAUAGUAAAUAUGAAAUUUGAACCUGCCAAACUUGUCUGCAGCAGAGGCAGCACCUUAUUCUCCUGCAUUGAUGGAUCGGGGUUCUAAGCUCACAUUCUCUCAACGAUUGUCUCUCAUAGUUACAGCCAGCCUAGUGAGCAGAAAGCUAU